AUGACUUUGAUCUGCGUCCUCAUCUGGACUCUCCUCUGCUGCUGCUUCACAGAGUCCAGAGGUCAGGUCACAGUGACUCAGCCUGCAGCAGUGAGAGCUGAUCUGGGAGGAACUGUUACCAUCAACUGUAGGACCAGUCAACGAGUUAAUGGUGGUAAUGAUAUAGCCUGGUAUCAACAGAAAGAUGGACAAACUCCUAAGCGUCUCAUUUAUUAUGCCAGCACUCGAGAAUCAGGGACUCCAAGUCGUUUUACAGGCAGUGGAUCAAACUCUGACUUCACUCUGACCAUCAGUGGAGUUCAGGCUGAAGAUGCUGCAGUUUAUUACUGUGUGAGUUUUCAUGUCAUCAAUAGUCAGUACGUGUUCACACAGUGA